AGCUAACAGCCACGCUGCUUUAACUUAUCAAUAAUGAAAAGUGAGCUGGAGCUGUCAGGAAAUACAUUUGACAUCUCAGCUUUGAAGAACAGGAACUCUGUUCUCCCUCUGUAGAUAUGAAAGGAAAUAUAAUCAUUAGUAAACCUAAUUUAUUUCAUAAGCAGAGUUGGCAGUGUGAUUCCUUUUCAAGACUUCCUGGCACUUUCCUAUUAUGAGAGUCUGCUUUUAGUUGUCUACAUCAGACAAACAUGAUUUGUUCAGGCUGAAAUAACCCUAGCUGAGCAUUUGCUUCUACUAAGAUUAUUUUUUAUCUUUCAAGUUGUAUCCAUAUUUUUUAUGCUACUUUAACUUUAAAACCAUUAUAAAUAAACACAUAUUCACAUUAGGAAGGCAUCAACUCAGAUGGCAAAGACAGUAUAUGGUAAAUGAGGAAUUCUAGCAUGGAGCCACAGCAGCUUAAUGCUUUAAGAAAAUAGAUGAUUAGGUAAAGAAGACAAAGAGCGGGAUGUGAUCUUUGAAGCAAGAAUCAUUAAGGAAUUCAAAGGUGGAUGGGCUAUAGAUUGUGGAAAGUGAAGACAGACAUUAGAUAUUCAGCAUUCUUAUUUCUCAGAAUACAACAGAAUAUUAUUAGGGUACAAAGUAAUGGAGAAAAAUUAUCUUUUGAGGCCAGCCUUCACAGGAACCUAAGGAGAUAAAGAAAUCAAAUAGCAGAUAUACUUCAUACUUUUCAAAACUGAGAAAGCAAAAGGGAACUGAAAUGUGGUUUUCUUAAUUUCCAGGAAAGUAAAUAAACCCCCCUCCCUAUUACUUCUACAGAAAUUCAGUGGGUUCUGUAAGGACAGUAACAAUGAGAACUUUGAUUCUCUCCACUGGGCUUCAGCUGAUCUGCAGCACAAGAACCUGAAAUUAGCUAGCACAAUGCAAUCAAUAUUGAGCAAUAUUUUGUCUCUGAAAGAAAUUCAGUCUGACAGAGAAAAGACCAGUGCAGGAAAAGUGAGAUUCUGGCUGAAAAGCUGAAUACAGAAAUUCCCUGCAAAGUGGUACAAAUUAGUUGAUGUCACCAGAGCAAGAAAACCGUAGUGACAGAAUAAAAUGUUAUCCAGGUUCCAGAAUACUUUAUUAUCACCACCUUAGGUCACUAAGCUUCACAAGCUAUAUCCAUCAAGUUUGAUAGCAGUAUAUAUACUCACAGCUGAAGCUAGAAGGUGCAGUGCUUUAAUGUACUAACGAUUUACAUUAAGACACCUGGGUUCAAAGUCAGUUUAUGACAUGAACAGAAUGGGUUUGUUGGUCUCAGCCUGCUCUCUAGUGGACAACUGCACAUAAACCCAGUCCUGAGAAGAAUCCCAAGAAUUAGAUUUGGUGGCCAAGACAUAUGAUGAAAUUCAUAUUCUCUGAACAACAUUAUUCAAAAUGAAAUUAAAUUGGAUAUCUGUGCUAAUUCUGAAACACUGUAAGAUGAGACACGUCCAUUGGCGUCUCUUAAAUACUAUAUUCAGUAUUGUAACCAGUAUUUGGAAGUAAAGAACAGAAGGGGAACCAGUACAAUGAAAGGCAGAAAAGGAAAUUAAAUGUUUUCAUGUUAGGUUAAAAUGAAGAUAAGAUGACAUACUGCUAUAACAGACAUUUAAUGUUUAUGACUAGGUACAAUAUUUGUCUUUAUUUACUCUUUUUCAUAAUGCAAGACAACAAGAAAUGAAAAAAAUGGCACACACAAUAACGAUAAAAGGAAGUAUUUUCUUGGUACAUAAUUAACCUGUAAACUCAUGUCUGAAAGACAUUUCAGAGACAAGAGCUAAACAGGACUUAAGAAAGAUUAUGCUUUUAUAUAAAUAAUGAGAAUAGGAAGAGGUAUGUUAGAUAGUAUUAAAAUGAAUGAGGGAUAUAAAGUCUCAUGAUUCAAGAUAUAAAACAAACUUAAAUUGCCUAGAGCAUGAGAAGAAACUACACCCACAGAUGUUUUAUUUCAUUAGUGUAUCCCAUACAAUGUUUACAUUCACUUCAGCAGGCAGGCAGCAGAAUACUGGAGUCUCAGAUUUGUGUAGUUGGUGGUAUUUCCUACGCUUCCAAGACAAAUUCCUUAGUGACUCAUUUGCAAAAAUCAGCUGCAAAAAAUUGUCUGGAACUCUGACCCCAUUUCAGGUUAUUCCCCUUUACAUUGCUUAACCUUUUAUUAGUCAGGAGAACAACACUCAUUGAUAACUAAGCAUUUACAAUUACAAUCAUAUGUCAAUGACAGAGGCAAAGUAAAAAUUUUAUUAAGUUGAAAUAUCUUUUCAAAACUUUUUUUUAAUAUAAAAAAGUUGUUAUUGCUAGCUUAUAACUGACCAUUACAUAUUACACAUAUAUUUGUAUGAUAUAUUAACAUAUAUAUACACUGUAUUUACAGAGUCUUUUACAGUCUUGUGCUUUUUCCUAGUCUAAGCUGACUAUUCCAUUAUUUUUCAUCAUGUCAUCUACCUCCCUGAUUUGCAGGAAUGUUUGAACACUUACGUUUUACAAGCCUACGUUUCAAGUUUAAGAUAAAUUUAAAACUAAAUUCUUAUCCAAAUAAAGUUCACUUUAUGGA